AUUCAGCUGACAAGUCUCAAAUAGGACGAAACGCGCGCCCUGGAU
rnacentral:hammerhead_ribozyme from 1 species